AACGCACAGAUCUUUCCCAUGUAGCAGCAACUACACAUUCCGGUGGUUAUGGUGAUGCUGUAACUAUAGAUAACGACAUAGUGGUUAUGUCCACAUCUAACAUGGAUUUCUUCCGGAUUAUAGGAAAUCGGGGAUUUCUUUGAAGUGAAGUAAGGUGGAACAAGAAUAUUUCUUGGUAUAUAAGAUUGGUGAAGCCCGAGACCUAAGUUAUGGUUAACUUGAGAAGCGACAAGUCCCAGAUUGUUUUGCAGGUAAAAGUAUUCUGCUAGGAUGGUUGGCUAUGAGCUGGGAUUGGUAAACUCCAUUUUCUUCCUGGAGUAGUGCCGAGUCAUUAUGGUUAUCAUGUGUGCGUACGGGUAUGUCGGGGCCCUGUCCCGAUUCAUAUGAUUCAAGUGUUUACUCUUAGAGGCUUUACAGACAGUGUCCUGUGAUUAGUAUGUUAAGAUGAUAUGCGUUGAGUAAAGCGACCAUGUAGGCCGAUAUGUCAGGUUGACUUAAUUGGUUUUUGAUUAAUUGAGUAUUGUUCGCAAAUUUCUAUGGUUUGACGGAAAGUACUUUAUUAUAUUUCCGAAUUUUUUUUAUAUGUCCAGUUUCAUUAUGUGAAUGCCAGAGGGUUCGCUCAGCUUUACGUAAGAGUUGGGUGCCCAUCAUGCCCUAUCGGAAUUGGGGUGUGACAGCAAGCUUUGAGGAUUGGAUGAUCGCUAUAUGUUCAAGACGGAGUCGUUUCGAAUUCCAAGUCAACAUCCCACUAGCCAAACAGGGCCC